rnacentral:lncRNA from 1 species
GUUUAUAUAUUUAAGUUAGUAUUAAAAUAACAAUUAGUUGGUAAGUGGUCUGGUGGAGGGGAGUGGUGUCUAGGUCUUUAGUGUAUUGGGUUCAAUUCCCCUAUGUGUAGUUUUUUUUCUUUUAACAUUUUCUUUUAUAUUUAUGCUUUAUUACUCAUAGUUUUUAUUAUUGUUUAAUAAUAUAGAUUUGUUUUUCUUUUAAUUGCAUCAUGUGUUCGAAACCAUUUGAAAACUAUAAAAAUCAUACUUUUCUCGAUUUAAUAUCGAGCUCAUUUUCACACCCUUGUAAGUCGAUUGCUUUUAAGCAUCGCCAUCAACCUCACAUAGCUUACUCUUGGGCUUUCU